rnacentral:rRNA from 1 species
GAUGAACGCUAGCUACAGGCUUAACACAUGCAAGUCGAGGGGAAACGACAUCGGAAGCUUGCUUUUGAUGGGCGUCGACCGGCGCACGAGUGAGUAACGCGUAUCCAACCUGCCCACCACUUGGGAAUAACCUUGCGAAAGUAAGACUAAUACCCAAUGACGUCUCUAGAAGACAUCUGAAAGAGAUUAAAGAUUUAUCGGUGAUGGAUGGGGAUGCGUCUGAUUAGCUUGUUGGCGGGGUAACGGCCCACCAAGGCGACGAUCAGUAGGGGUUCUGAGAGGAAGGUCCCCCACAUUGGAACUGAGACACGGUCCAAAACUCCUACGGGAGGCAGCAGUGAGGAAUAUUGGUCAAUGGACGGGAGUCUGAAACCAGCCAAGUAGCGUGCAGGAUGACGGCCCUAUGGGUUGUAAACUGCUUUUAUAGGGGGAUAAAGUGUGCCACGUGUGGCAUAUUGCAGGUACCCUAUGAAUAAGGACCGGCUAAUCCGUGCCAGCAGCCGACGG